GACGAACGCUGGCGGCGUGCUUAACACAUGCAAGUCGAACGGAAAGGCCCUGCUUGCAGGGUACUCGAGUGGCGAGCGCGUGAGUAACACGUGUGAGAUCUCCCCUGUACUUCGGGGUACGCCUGGGGAACUGGGUCUAAUACCGGGUAGGAGCGAUUGUGAUUCUGAUGGUUGGUAAGUUUUUUCGGUGUAGGUUGAGCUCGCGGCCUAUCAGCUUGUUUGUUGGGUAGGUGCCUACCAAGGCGGCGACGGUUAGGCGGCCGGAGAGGGUGGACGGCCCAAAUGGGGCUGAGAUACGGACCAGACUCCUACGGGAGGCAGCAGUGGGGCAUAUUGCAAAAUGGGGCGAAGCCUGAUGGAGCGACCCCGCGGGGCGGAUGACGGGCAUUGGGUUGCAAACGCCGUUCGCUAGGGACGAAGCCUUUUGUGAAGGUAACUGGCUAAGAAGCACCGGCUAGGUACGUG
rnacentral:rRNA from 1 species